rnacentral:tRNA from 1 species
GGGGAAGUGUCGGAACUGGCAGACGAGCGUGAUUUAGGAUCAUGUGGGCUCAGCCCGUGCGGGUUCAAGUCCCGCCUUCCCCA